CCUACGGGAGGCAGCAGUGGGGAAUAUUGCACAAUGGGGGAAACCCUGAUGCAGCGACGCCGCGUGAGUGAAGAAGUAAUUCGUUAUGUAAAGCUCUAUCAGUAGGGAAGUAAAUGACGGUACCUGAGUAAGAAGCCCCGGCUAACUACGUGCCAGCAGCCGCGGUAAUACGCAGGGGGCAAGCGUUAUCCGGAUUUACUGGGUGUAAAGGGAGCGUAGGCGGCAGUGCAAGUCUGGAGUGAAAGGCCGGGGCUCAACCCCCGGACUGCUCUGGAAACUGUACGGCUGGAGUGCAGACGAGGUAAGUGGAAUUCCUAGUGUAGCGGUGAAAUGCGUAGAUAUUAGGAGGAACACCAGUGGCGAAGGCAGCUUACUGGACUGUAACUGACGUUGAGGCUCGAAAGCGUGGGGAGCGAACAGGAUUAGAUACCCCUGUAGUC
rnacentral:rRNA from 1 species